GAUGAACGCUGGCGGCAGGCCUAACACAUGCAAGUCGAGCGAGCGGCGGACGGGUGAGUAAUGUCUGGGAAACUGCCUGAUGGAGGGGGAUAACUACUGGAAACGGUAGCUAAUACCGCAUACCAUCAGAUGUGCCCAGAUGGGAUUAGCUAGUAGGUGGGGUAAUGGCUCACCUAGGCGACGAUCCCUAGCUGGUCUGAGAGGAUGACCAGACAAACUGAAAGUGAGAGACGGGCCAGACUCCUACGGGAGGCAGGAGUGGGGAAUAUUGCACAAUGGGAGCAAGCCUGAUGCAGCCAUGCCGCGUGUAUGAAGAAGGCCUUCGGGUUGUAAAGUACUUUCAGCGGGGAGGCGUUACCCGCAGAAGAAGCACCGGCUAACUCCGUGCCAGCAGCCGCGGUAAUUC
rnacentral:rRNA from 1 species